ACUUAGGAUUGAAAUUUUACAAU
rnacentral:siRNA from 1 species